CGGAGGGGGCUAGCGUUGUUCGGAAUUACUGGGCGUAAAGCGCACGUAGGCGGCUUUGUAAGUUAGAGGUGAAAGCCCGGGGCUCAACUCCGGAAUUGCCUUUAAGACUGCAUCGCUAGAAUUGUGGAGAGGUAAGUGGAAUUCCGAGUGUAGAGGUGAAAUUCGUAGAUAUUCGGAAGAACACCAGUGGCGAAGGCGACUUACUGGACACAUAUUGACGCUGAGGUGCAAAAGCGUGGGGAGCAAACAGGAUUAGAUACCCUGGUAGUCCACGCCGUAAACGAUGAUGACUAGCUGUCGGGGCGCUUAGCGUUCCGGUGGCGCAGCUAACGCGUUAAGUCAUCCGCCUGGGGAGUACGGCCGCAAGGUUA
rnacentral:rRNA from 1 species